rnacentral:tRNA from 2 species
GUCUCAGUAGCUCAGCUGGAUAGAGCAACAGCCUCCUAAGCUGUAGGUCGUGAGUUCGAAUCUCGCCUGGGACG